CGAUUAUAAAUAACUUGAAACGCCGAUUCUCGUACGAUCACCGAAGUUAAGUAACGUUGAGCCUGGUCAGUAUCUAGAUGGGUUACCACUUGGGAAUACCAGUUGCCGUAA